UCCGGUCUCGGUCAGCGACGAGCAUCGGCAACCUACCCGACCCGUCUUGAAACACGGACCAAGGAGUCCCAGUCGACUGCGAGUCGUUGGAGCCUUUCAAUUCGCGAACUCCGACGGCACAGCGAAAGCGAGAACGUGACACGACGUCGCCGUCUCGCUUCGGCGUGACGGCGCUUCGAAGCAUUGUUCCCGGGUCGGGUCCGCGCGUUCGCCGCGACGUUCGCGUCCGGCGUUCCCGCUCCGACUCAGGUGUAGCAGGCGGCCGGGGACCCGAAAGAUGGCGAUCCAUGUCCGGUCGGGACGAAGCCAGAGGAAACUCUGGUGGAAGUCCGAAGCGCCUCUGACGUGCAAAUCGAUCGUCGGAACCGGGUGUAGGGGCGAAACACCAAUCGAGCCGUCUAGUAGCUGGUUCCCUCCGAAGUUUCCCUCAGGAUAGCUGGCGCCAGCGGGAGAACGACACGCAAUUCCGUCCGGUAAGGCGAACGACUGGGGGCCCCGGGGACGUUGACGGCCUCGAUCUACUCUCGAACUCGGAACGGGCGAAACGGGCCGCUCCUCUCUCGAUCGGAGGCGGCCGCCGUUAUGCGACAACGAAUGCAAGGUGCCAAGUGGGCCACUUUUGGUAAGCAGAACUGGUGAUGUGGGAUGAACCGAACGUCCGGCUAAGGUGCCCUACUUUUCGCCCAUUAGAUCCCCGAAAGAGUGUCGGUCGAUAUAGACAGCAGGACGGUGGCCAGGGAAGUCGGAAUCCGCUCAGGAGUGUGUAACAACUUACCUGCCGAAUCGACCGGCCCCGAAAAUGGAUGGCGCUGGAGCGAGCGACCGAUGCCGGACCGG